CCUCUUUCAGUAGGGAAGAAGCCUUUCGGGGUGACGGUACCUGCAGAAGAAGCGCCGGCUAACUACGUGCCAGCAGCCGCGGUAAUACGUAGGGCGCAAGCGUUAUCCGGAAUUAUUGGGCGUAAAGAGCUCGUAGGCGGUUUGUCGCGUCUGCUGUGAAAGACCGGGGCUCAACUCCGGUUCUGCAGUGGGUACGGGCAGACUAGAGUGCAGUAGGGGAGACUGGAAUUCCUGGUGUAGCGGUGAAAUGCGCAGAUAUCAGGAGGAACACCGAUGGCGAAGGCAGGUCUCUGGGCUGUAACUGACGCUGAGGAGCGAAAGCAUGGGGAGCGAACAGGAUUAGAUACCCUGGUAGUCCAUGCCGUAAACGUUGGGCACUAGGUGUGGGGGACAUUCCACGUUUUCCGCGCCGUAGCUAACGCAUUAAGUGCCCCGCCUGGGGAGUACGGCCGCAAGGCUAAAACUCAAAGGAAUUGACGGGGGCCCGCACAAGCGGCGGAGCAUGCGGAUUAAUUCGAUGCAACGCGAAG
rnacentral:rRNA from 1 species